UACGUAGGGCGCAAGCGUUGUCCGGAAUUAUUGGGCGUAAAGAGCUCGUAGGCGGUCUGUCGCGUCGGCUGUGAAAACCCGGGGCUCAACCCCGGGCCUGCAGUCGAUACGGGCAGACUAGAGUGUGGUAGGGGAGACUGGAAUUCCUGGUGUAGCGGUGGAAUGCGCAGAUAUCAGGAGGAACACCGGUGGCGAAGGCGGGUCUCUGGGCCGUUACUGACGCUGAGGAGCGAAAGCGUGGGGAGCGAACAGG
rnacentral:rRNA from 1 species